GAGAGGCCUGCUGUGCUCUGGCCAGCACAGUCUAGCUGAGUCUGCACUGGAGCAUCUCCGGCCUGUUUCUGGAGGUUGUAGCGGCUUCCUGGGACCUGCAGGGAGAGCUGAUCCAGCUGCUUCUCCCCAGUUUGAGCAAACUGCUUACAGGCAAGUUACCCGAGACACAGUGCACGAGGCCAGUAAAUGACCCCAGAGUGGCUCUAAGCAUUCACGUGUAAGGAUCACAUACAUUUCCUUGAAAUCAAAAGCUAGAGAUGCCAAGGCCUAGUGAAGAAGGUGAGUGGACAGUCAGACAGCGAGCUGAAUGCCAGGCCUCUGUGCACACGGCUCACCACUCUGGGAAUGUGGAGGGAAGUUCUUGAAGGAAGGUGAGAGGACUCUGCAGUGGGCAUGCAGAGAAAGCCAACAGGUGGCCCUCUUCUCGCUCUGAAGACUCAGGUGAGGAGGUUGAGAUCGGGUGGCCCCUGGAGGCUGCUCAGGCGUCUGAGGAAAGGCGGGUUGCGCAGCGUCUCGGCACAGGCGAGGCAGCGAGAGGUGGUGUGGAAGCCGCAGUGCACCGUCCAGGAGACCAGCUGUCGCACUGAACAAGGAUUCUCAGUGUGGACACGUAGGCCGCGUUGGAAGAGGCUGCUGAGGACUUCUGUGGCUCAAUGGGGUCCAUGCCUGCCUUCCAAGCUUCCAAGGACAGGCUGACCCUUAUCAAAGGAUGAUGUAGUGGGUGGCUCUAAGUCUAGGCCAGUGCUCACUGACCACCUGGAAAUCCAGGGCCCGAGGGACAGCAUUGGAGCCACCGUGUCUGGUUCUGGGAAUGGAGCUUGGGCCUGGAUGGCAGCCUGAUUCCAACAGAGAAUCCUGGUCCCCAAGAGCUCUGGUGGAGAGGGACACGGGGCCCAUGUUGUGUCCAGGCCUGCUGGCCCAGCACCCCUCUGCACCCGGGGACUGGGAGUCAUGCUGACUUCACGACUUCUUGUUUAAGAAGCGUGUUCUGUAGGGCUGUGAGUGCCCUUGGUGAUUCCUCCUCUGAUCCGGGCAGUUGAAAACCUGGAAGGGUUCCUGUUCCGGAUGCCAGUAAGAACAUUCAUGGUCAGGGGAGGGGGGCAAGAUCCCUACACUAACGGGAAGAAGUUGAUCCCGACUCUCACGGGGACUUUGGGGGGCUCAGGACGGCGGUGGAGAAGGAACUGCGCAGGCGGUACACGCGGCAAGAGGCCCAGACUGAGAAGUGGAGCCUGAGGACUGUCUGGGCCCCUGGCCAGCACCUUGGUUACACAGAACCUUGCAAAGGCAAGGGUAAGGCAUACCAAGCUCUCGAUCCACAGAAAGUGCGAGUGUCCUGUCCUGCGGCCACUGAGAGGCCUGGGGAAGGCCCUCCUUCCGUUCCUUUGUGGGUGUCGUGGUUGGAUGCGUCCCCUGGCAGGUAUGCUGUGGAUCUAGCCCUCGGUACCGUGAACGUGAGCUGGUUUGGAAGAAGGGGAGUCUCAGAUGCCGUGGUCAGGACUGGGGCCGUCCUGGGGCAGGGUGAGCCCUGAUCCACAUGCCUGGGGCCCUUUAGAGAGGAGAUGAGGAUGCAGCCACACGAGGGUGGGGUGGGGGAAGGCCGUGCCAGGUGGGGGCUAACUCGAGUGAUGGCACUGGGAGUGGAGGGGACCAGCACUGCCUGCCCCCACCUGGACUUGGGACCUCGGUCGACUGUGAGAGGGCAGAUUCUGUUGCUGGAACCCCCACCCCACUCGGGCACUGUGCUGUGGCGGCCCUGGGAGACUGGCCAUAUCUGGUGAGGGCCAUAUCUAUUUCAAUGUAUGGCAGGAAGCAGCAAGUGGACAUGUUUGGAAAAGGCAGGCCACCAGAGACACCCCAACUGUGUAACAAUGUGUGCUCCUGGUGACUAACCUAGUUCCUGAGAAAGGCGUCAACCCUUCUUAAGGAUCUGAGCACCUCUUAAAGGCCCACGACCACUCGGCAGUCUGUUGACCAUACGCCCUGUGUCUCGAAGCGGGCAAGGCAGGUCCAACCACAGCGCCUGUGUAACGGCACUUAAUUAAGAAAUCUUAAUUCAGCUUCUCCAGAAACCCUUGCCAUUAUUGUUCUUAGACUCUCAGCAAAAAUUUCUGCAAAAGGAUUUUCAGGCGGGGCGGGGGUGUUUGCAGAAGCAGAGUGUGAUAGGAGAGACCAACCCAAGCCUUCACAGAGGACUUUCAAAAGACACUAGUUAGGUCCAGCUGGGGUGGGGGAGCUCUCCCUUCCCCAAGCACUGAUUUUCACAGAGAGCGACCUUGGGGGUUAUUUUUGUAGAACCUGCCCUGAGUUGGAUGCCCAGAAGAGUGGGAAAAAACUACUAUUAUGUGGAUUUCUGCAGAUUGUGAGCCUCUGAAUUCCUCCCCCCAACACACUGGGUAUAAAGUUCCAAAACUUUCUGAACUCUGGGUUCAGAGGGAUUGAAUGAUUGUGGCGAAAGCCUUUUUCCCCUCUGGACCUGGCUGCAGCCAAUAAACCUGCUUCCUGCCAA